AAGAUUUUAGUUACUUGCAUUUUUUUACACCCAUUGCGAAAAUGAAAAACAAGUUCAAAAUACAUGUUUUAUUGAGUGUAAAUGGACAAUAGAGCAGCACAAACAAGUGAAGACAAAAUAUAGAAAUCACAUCGUGUUUAUCUAUAUACUAUAUUUCGUUUCACAAAGAUUUAACUAAUACCACAGAAUAAAUAAUAGUACUAGGUACAGAAGACUCACUCUAACAAAAUGCGUCUGUUACGAUCAGGACAGAUAUGGCCGCUAGGUGGCGACAGCGCCACGCGCGGCUUAUGGCUAGCCACCAAAAUUGGUGUGGAACGGAUGUACUUUUAGCUACCUGUAGCAAAGCGACGAAAUCGCGGAGUGAGCCACGCCUGCUAAUACCUAUAUGUAUAUUUUUUUAUUAAAAUGACGUUGGGUGCAGUGUAAAUACAAUCGGCACCCUCUCAACAUCUGAAUAAAUACUUUGACUCUUUAAGGCACUUUUUAAUAAUUGACAAUGCUUUUCAAAACAAAAAAGGCGGAAAUAAACAAUAUUAAAGUAUAUGAAGUACGGAGUUCUAGGUACAAUCAGAUGCAGAGAUGUCUGACCCUCACUGCUUAUAACCUAUGAAGGGGGUAAGUCAUCUCUGCAGCUUACCUUACAUUUUAUUCUACCUUGUAGGUAGGUAGUCAGUGGACGCCUUAUCUAUGAACUUUAAUACUUGUCGAUAAGCAAAAUACUGAAGUUUAUUACUAUAAUAGCCCCUGUUACGGCGUAAACCGUCUCAAGCACAACCUCUGGUUCACAGUAUUAAGUUAAUUUCAAUAUUCAUAAAAGAAUUUGUCAAUUUGAUAGCUAUAUUCUAAUAACAAGAUCAUAUUUUAUACAUUUUAUAAUACUAUGCACACACAAACACAUUUAAUAAUUAACUGAAAUUUUAUCAUGUAAUACACUUAUUUUAAGUAGAACAAAUCCAUUAUAUGGCAAAUUUGUUUAAUUACAAAAUACCUAAAAUAUUACUUUUAUCCUUGUAGUAAUUAAAUUUAUUAAACAC